rnacentral:rRNA from 1 species
CCCUUAGACGUUCUGGGCCGCACGCGCGCUACACUGACGGAGCCAGCGAGUAUAAACCUUGGCCGAGAGGUCUGGGAAAUCUUGUGAAACUCCGUCGUGCUGGGGAUAGAGCAUUGUAAUUAUUGCUCUUCAACGAGGAAUUCCUAGUAAGCGCAAGUCAUCAGCUUGCGUUGAUUACGUCCCUGCCCUUUGUACACACCGCCCGUCGCUACUACCGAUUGAAUGGCUUAGUGAGGCUUCCGGAUUGGUUUAGAGAAGGGGGCAACUCCAUCUUGGAACCGAGAAGCUAGUCAAACUUGGUCAUUUAGAGGAAGUAAAAGUCGUAACA